AUGUAUGUAUGUGAGUGUGUAUGUAUUUAUGAAUGACUAUGUCUAUACAUACACACACACACACACACACACACACACACAC
rnacentral:miRNA from 1 species